AUGCACCUUUUCCAAUUCCCUGUUAUCACAGGAUUGCAAAAGGACAGCUUCCCACCGUGUCAGCCUUUGAAAUGUCCUGGUUUUCUCCUCAUCUCGUUCCCCGGCUGUAGGCUGUAUUUCUUUACUCACAGAGCUGGCAAACCGCCCCCACCUUCUAGUUGCCCUCCAAACCCAGCACACUGCGCACUCCUAGGUACUGCCCAGGGUGCCUGUUGGAAGCCUCCCCCUGUCCCCGCGGGCCACCCUGCGGCCCCUCCAGCUGUGCCUGCCCGCACCGCCCUUGGCCACGCGUCCCCGCGGGUCACACGGGUCACACGCAGGCUGCGGGCCUCGUGGGUCCGCCCCGCGCCUCCGCCAUCCGGCUGGAGACAGGGGUCCCCGUGCGUCGGGGUCGGAGCGGGCCCCGCGGAGGGUGCGGGAGGCGCCAGGGAGCCGUGCGCGGCAGCCUGGGAGCCCGUGGGGGCGGAGGGGACAGGAGGGGACCGUGGAGAGGGCACGGAGGGGGCCGGAGGGGGCCCGGAGGGGACAGGAGGGGACCGUGGAGAGGGCACAGAGGGAGCACCGAGGGCGCCCGGAGGGGACCCUGGAGAGGAGGAGGCAGGGGGUGGGGAUGAAGGGGGCCUGGGAGGGGACGGAGGUGGCCGAGGGGAUGGGCGAGGUGAGGGAAGCGCAGCCCAGGCUGGAGCGAGCCGACCGCGCCCUCCGGGUGGCGCCAGCCGGGGCGCUGGGCUGGGUGCGUCCCCCCCCCACCCCCGCCCCGCCCCGCCCCGCCCCGCCCCGCCGCGCCCCGAAGACGCCAGGCAGCCCGGGUCACGGUUAAGGCGCUUCGCCCAUCAGAGAGGUGACAGGCGCUCGGGAGAGAGCCGCAUCCCCCACCCCACAUCCCCCCUGCAUCCCCCCACCCCCACCCCGCGCGCAUCCGCCUGGGGCGACAGGAGGGGCGCGGUGCCACGGACCCCACCCACGCAGACACCCCUCUCUAACCCAAGGGAGGCCCGCUCUCGUCGCCUCCCCCAAACAGCAACUGCGACUAAACCCAAGGACUUGCAGAAAAAAUUCAAUUUAGGAACAGAUUUCCGGUCGCUAAGAUAUGAUUGGAUCCAAGCACAAUAG
rnacentral:lncRNA from 1 species